ACGGAUGUAGCACAGUUGGUAGGGCGCUUGCUUUGGGAGCAAGGGGUCGCAGGUUCGAGUCCUGUCAUCCGUA
rnacentral:tRNA from 1 species